rnacentral:rRNA from 1 species
GCACACCAGGCGAGAAUUUUUCACAAUGGGGGCAACCCUGAUGGAGCGACGCCGCGUGGAGGAUGAAGGCUUUCGGGUUGUAAACUCCUGUCAUUUGAGAACAAGUGUAGCCAACUAACUAUUGGCCACUUGAUAGUAUCAGAAGAGGAAGGGACGGCUAACUCUGUGCCAGCAGCCGCGGUAAUACAGAGGUCCCAAGCGUUGUUCGGAUUCAUUGGGCGUAAAGGGUGCGUAGGUGGCGCCGUAAGUGGGGUGUGAAAUUUCGGAGCUUAACUCCGAAACUGCAUUCCAUACUGCGGUGCUUGAGGACUGGAGAGGAGACUGGAAUUCAUGGUGUAGCAGUGAAAUGCGUAGAGAUCAUGAGGAAGACCAGUGGCGAAGGCGGGUCUCUGGACAGUUCCUGACACUGAGGCACGAAGGCUAGGGGAGCGAACGGGAUUAGAUACCCCUGUAGU